rnacentral:misc_RNA from 1 species
GUGAAUCAUCGAAUUUUUGAACGCAUAUUGCACUCUCUGGUAUUCCGGAGAGUAUGCCUGUUUGAGGGUCAUUUGAAAUAUUAUAAAUUCCAAGGUGUCUGGGAAUUUAAACUGGGUUGUCCAUUUUUUGUGGUCGCCUAAACUCCAGGACAAGAUCAUUUUCUUGAGUUGCGUGAUACUUUGAGUUACCUCGUGACUUAACCAGGAAUCC